UAAUACAGAGGGUGCGAGCGUUGUCCGGAAUCACUGGGCGUAAAGGGCGCGUAGGCGGUCUCUUAAGCGUGUGGUGAAAGCCCGGGGCUCAACUCCGGGUCGGCCGUGCGAACUGGGGGACUGGAGCUUGUCAGAGGCAGGCGGAAUUCCGGGUGUAGCGGUGGAAUGCGUAGAGAUCCGGAAGAACACCGGUGGCGAAGGCGGCCUGCUGGGACAGUGCUGACGCUGAGGCGCGACAGCGUGGGGAGCAAACAGGAUUAGAUACCCUGGUAGUCCACGCCGUAAACGAUGGGCACUAGGUGCUUGGGGGAGCGACCCCCUGAGUGCCGGCGCUAACGCAUUAAGUGCCCCGCCUGGGGAGUACGGCCGCAAGGCUG
rnacentral:rRNA from 1 species